rnacentral:lncRNA from 1 species
UAAAGUUGCAAAAAUAACUUAAAAAUAACAAAUAACUGAUAUUUUUUAUUUAUUGACUUGUCUACACUAAAGUUGUGGGAAGUAGCUGGAAAGAGUAUUUUCCACUAUGUUAGAUUAGUCAACCAUAUAAUAGCUAGAAAUUCAAAAUAAAUCAUUAACCAUAUAAGCUUAACGAAAAUAUGUGUUUCAGUUACCAUUUUCCACUACGCCAGAUAUGCAGUUUAAGAACACGUAUCUUAUAUAUAUAAUAGUGCUUUCGGACACGGUCUAUGUGAAUGUAGUAGUAUAUAUCCUCCACUUUGUGCUAUUAGAUAUAUGACCAAUACAACAACGGACUGUUGUAUUGUAUAUAUAGAACAUCACACACUAUAGGAAGCAUUGUUGUAUAGGCCAUAUAUAUAGCAACACUUCCUACAAUGUGUGUUGUUGUAUAUAUACAAUACAACAACGUGCUGUUUACAGUGCGCUGUUGUAUCGGUCACAUAUCUAACUUCAUACAAUGUGCGCGAUUGCAUAUACAACAUCGCACGCAGGAGCUUCCAGUAGCAUGUGAUGUUGGUUAUUGCACACCUGCAUAUAUAUUUAUGAAACACAG